GCAGCGCCGCGGGAACACGGAGGGGGCUAGCGUUGUUCGGAAUUACUGGGCGUAAAGCGCACGUAGGCGGCUUGGUAAGUUAGAGGUGAAAGCCUGGAGCUCAACUCCAGAAUUGCCUUUAAGACUGCCGAGCUAGCAGGUGAGAGAGGUAAGUGGAAUUCCGAGUGUAGAGGUGAAAUUCGUAGAUAUUCGGAAGAACACCAGUGGCGAAGGCGGCUUACUGGCUCAUACUGGACGCUGAGGUGCGAAAGCGUGGGGAGCAAACAGGAUUAGAUACCCCAGUAGUCCCUGUCUCUUAUACA
rnacentral:rRNA from 1 species